rnacentral:rRNA from 1 species
UUAAAGUUGUUGCAGUUAAAAAGCUCGUAGUUGAACUUCAGCCCUGGCUGGGCGGUCUGCCUCACGGUAUGUACUGUCUGGCUGGGGCUUACCUCUUGGUGAGCUCGCAUGUCGUUUAUUYGGUGUGUGAGGGAACCAGGACUUUUACUUUGAGAAAAUUAGAGUGUUCAAAGCAGGCAAAUGCCCGAAUACAUUAGCAUGGAAUAAUA